rnacentral:rRNA from 1 species
CCUACGGGAGGCAGCAGUGGGGGAUAUUGCACAAUGGGGGAAACCCUGAUGCAGCGACGCCGCGUGAGUGAAGAAGUAUUUCGGGAUGUAAAGCUCUAUCAGCAGGGAAGAAAAUGACAGUACCUGACCAAGAAGCCACGGCUAACGACGUGCCAGCAGCCGCGGUAAUACGCAGGGGGCAAGCGUUAUCCGGAUUUACUGGGUUUCAAGGGAGCGUAGACGGUUUGGUAAGUCUGGAGUGACAGCCCGGGGCCCCACCCCGGGACUGCUUUGGAAACUGUGUAACUGGAGUACAGGAGGGGCAGGCGGAAUUCCUGGUGUAGCGGUGACCUGCGUAGAUAUCAGGAGGAACCCCGGCGGCGAAGGCGGCCUGCUGGACUGCAACUGCCGUUGCGGCUCG